AUGUCACUCUGCAUGGCGAUUAGCCUAGUCUCACUCACGCCCUCUCUCUCUAGUGUGGGAAAACAAGAGGAACCUCCAAAAUUUCCUAGCAACACAACGAAAUUGGUGGAAAUUCACUUCAUUUUGAAGUUCAGGGUCACUACAUGAUUGAUUUAAUCAAAAUAUUAAUGUUAUUCUUCUAGAGGAAGAAAAAGUUAAAAUAUAAAAAUCAUGCUGUUUGGAUUUGAUUAGGUAUAAUUGAUCAUAUGUGAAUAUUACCUUUCAUCCAGAUGGGAAAGUGCUAUUUUGAAAUUCAGUCCUUCACACUUCGAAACUGAUCAUUUUUAAUACGAAAAUGUCAUUUUGGUUUUUUUUUUUUCUGGUCAAGAAGUGCCACAGAUUUCCUAAAAGGUGCCGCGUGUAUUCCUAAAACCAAGGAAAAUUCUAACAUAGAACUGUCAUAAGAUUCAACAAUCCCAUUUCACUAAAUGUCAGGAAUUUCUUUAUCUUUACCAUAUACCAAUGCAUAAAUCAACUCCAAAGCAGAUCUCUAGAAUCAGACAAUACUGACUACUGCCUGAAUGUUUCUGCCACUAAGUUCCUGAUAUUGUUAUCUGGGAAAGAAUCAUUUGCAGGUAUGAAGAGAAUAACUUAUCAGAAAGGAGAAACUGCACAGAAGAUCCAGAGGCUCAACUGUUCCCACAUGUACUGAGCUUCUGACUCAUUCUGAUUCUCAAGAAUCAGACAAAUCUCUGUUUCACAGCAAUUUUCAGGGGCAUUUGGGGGCUGCCUGGCUGCUAUGAGCCAGUGGUUGCUGUGUGCCUGCAGGAGGAGGUCAUCUUGCAGAGGAGUAGAAACGUUAAGUUUGCAGGGAAAUAAAGAAAGAUAAAAAAGGA